rnacentral:rRNA from 1 species
UGAACCUGCGGAAGGAUCAUUAACGAAAUCGGACUUCGGUCUGGUGACGUCUCUCUUGCUGUGCGCCUUUUGGCUGCACGCUUGGGAAUCCACACACCUGUGCACACUCGGUUGGCGGGCUUCGGCCCGCCUCUCGCCUACACUUACUUUGUAUGUCUCGAAUGUCUAUUAUCUUAUGAUAAAAAAAUACAACUUUCAGCAACGGAUCUCUUGGCUCUCGCAUCGAUGAAGAACGCAGCGAAAUGCGAUACGUAAUGUGAAUUGCAGAAUUCAGUGAAUCAUCGAAUCUUUGAACGCACCUUGCACCCCGUGGUUCUCCACGGGGUACGCCCGUUCGAGUGUCACGUAAACCAUCGCCUAAGCAAAGCUAGCUUUGCUCUGGCGGAUCUGGACGCCUGCCGUCGUUGGCUCGUCCGAAAUGCAUUAGCGAGGGUGGUCUCUCUAAACCGCUUGGCGUGAUAUUUCCUUCUCGCCUGUUGGUUCGGUCUAGGAGACGGCUCUGCUCCGAAUCCCGUCGCGUCGACGGAACAUUACAAGGUUUGACCUCGAAUCGGGUGGGACUACCCGCUGAACUUAAGCAUAUCAAUAAGCGGAGGA